AUUUGGUCCACUUUUUUCUGAUUGAUCUAUUUAAACACGACAACCCAAUCAAAUACAAAUCUAAUAAAUGUAAGGAUAUACUCUGCUAUAACCUAUUUCAAUAGAUCAUACAUAGAAUAGCUGAGCCUAUUUUACCGCUGCAGAAGGAGAGAUUGUAAAGGCAGAGGUAAGUUAGUAGGUGGUUUAUUUGAAGUGACACAAAAUCAUCUAACAGCUGAAGGUAAAGAUUCUCAAUGUAUAUCUUGUACAGAUCAGAAUACUAACAUUUAACUAAUAAAAUAAUUAUUUUUGAAUAAUCAAGCUAAUACAACCCAACAAAUACAACCACAAGAAAUACAACCAA